rnacentral:rRNA from 1 species
GAUGAACGCUGGCGGCGUGCCUAAUACAUGCAAGUCGAGCGAACGGACGAGAAGCUUGCUUCUCUGAUGUUAGCGGCGGACGGGUGAGUAACACGUGGAUACCCUACCUAUAAGACUGGGAUAACUUCGGGAAACCGGCGCUAAUACCGGAUAAUAUUUUGAACCGCAUGGUUCAAAAGUGAAAGACGGUCUUGCUGGCACGUAUAGAUGGAUACGCGCUGCAUUAGCUAGUUGGUAAGGUAACGGCUUACCGAGGCAACGAGGCAUAGCCGACCUGAGAGGGUGAUCGGCCACACUGGAAGUGGGACAGGCUCCAGAGGCCUAAGAGAGGCAGCAGUAGGGAACCGUAGGCAGUGGGCGAAAGCCUGACGGAGCAACGCCGCGCGAGUGAUGACGGUCCUCGGAUCGUAAAACUGUGUUAUUAGGGAAGAACAGAUGUGUAAGUAACUGUGGACAGAUUGACGGUAACUAAUCAGAAAGCAACGGCUAACUACGUG